UUAAUAGUGAGGGGAAGCAGGCAAAGUCUCCUGAAGACAUUGACGUGAGCUGAGUGUUGGAGGGAACCAAGGGAUUCCAACAGGCAAAGGAGGGGAAGAAGAGUAUUCCAGAGAUUUGGACAAUCUGUGCAAAGGUAAGGAAACUGAGAUUCGUCAAUGUUACUCGACUUACUGAAGAUCACAAGACCAGGCUUGAUGAAGUAUCACAUUUUAGGAAGGACACUGGCAAACCCAAACACUCCCAGAGGAGGGCAACCAGGUGUUUGAUGGACUUCAAGGCCAUUGGAUGCGCUGCUUCAGAAAGACCUACCUCUCCCUUUGUCCAUUACUUUCCAUGACCAAGUUCCACUGUCAUUAUGACCUCAUUCGUAGCGCUGUGCUAAGAAGUCAUUUCUAGGAACACAUGGUGUUUAAAAGCUGGGACAACUUAGAGACCCUUCUGAAGGUCUUGGUGCUAAUGUGAAGGAAGGGGAGGGACAAACGGCUGAAAAUCAAGGUAAUUAAAAUCAGCAAGCUUUUAUUAUGUCCCUACUACACAGAAGGAACAAGGCUAGGUACUGGAAAUGCCAAGAAGAAAAUAAAAUGGUCACUAUCCUCAAGAACACUCUGGGAGAAGACCAUAGUGAGCCGAUGAAUAUAAAAUGUAAAUAAAAUAAAUGUUGCAAAAUUGAAGAGUGGGGCAGAAGAACUUCCAACAAGAGAGUUAUCAAAGGUCUCAAAGGAGGUGGCUCGUGAGCUGUACCUUGCAGGAAGCUUUUCUCAUCUUGUGUGACCAUGGGCAAAGCAUUUAACCUCAGUUUCCUCAUCAGUAAAAUGGGGAUCAUAAAACCUGUUGAAUCCUCUUCAACAAAGCUGUUGUGAAGGUUAAAUAAGAAAAUGUAUGUGAAUAACUUUGUAAACCCUACCAUGAUAGUAACGAGGAUAAUUUUAAGCAAUGUUACAUAGUAGAAAGAAUAAUGAACCAGGCCUGGGUUUAAAUCUCAGCUCUGCUAAUUCUAAGCUCUGUAACAUUGAGCAAUUGUUAUCUUAAGCAAUGUGGUAUAGCAGAAAGAGUGGAGAAUCAGAAAAGUCUUGAGUUCAAAUCUCAGCUCUGCUCCUUAUGAACUCUGUGGAUAAGACACACCAUCUUUCUAAGCCUCAGUUUCCUUAUUUGUAAAAUGAGGGAAAUGAAAUAGAUGCCCUCUGAGGUCCUUUCUAGCUCUUCUUAAUCCUUAUUAUCAAGCAGAACAAGAAACUAUUUUCCUGGUGAAAGCCCAAACCACUGGAGUUAUCUGCCAUGCCAUGAGAAGGAAAUUGUGAGGUCUCGAUGACAUCUUGGAAAGAAGGGGAAAGAUCUGGCUUAUUCCUAAGAGGACAAAGGAGGAGGAGGGGGUCCGAUGAACACAUUAAUGUCCUUCAUGAGCAACUUUCAAAAGGGAGUCAGUGAGAGAGCCAAAGACAAGUUUAGAAAGACCACAAACAAAAGCUUGGAUUGUUGGGAAAUGGAACCUUUUUUAGAAGCCUUCAAAGCCACUCUUUGAAAAACCCUGGCAUGGACACAGUAUCGAGCCUGGGGAAAGGCCAAGCCUGGCCUGAAUUCAUAAUUGCCAAACUGUUUGUUGCCUUUAUUUGCCAAGACUUACUAAUUGAACUUUUGUAGGUCUGGCUUGCCCAUAGGAGAAUUGGAGCUAUUGUUUGGCCCAUAGUGUGCAUGAGUGGUUUCUUCCACCUGAGGCAGAAAGUCAAAACUAAAGAUCUGAUUAACUCAAUUCUAUUCCGUAUUGGUUAAGUAACUGGUAUGUGCCAGGCACUGUGCUGGGGCUACAAAGACAAAAACCCCAAAAUAUUCAUUAGAUCAAAAAUUUAGAAAUGGAGGCAAUUGUGGAGAUCAACCAGUCCAAUACUACCAUUUUACAGAUGAGGAAACAGGUGCAGAAAAGUUAAAUCAGGGCUUCGGGUUUUCAUAGACCCCUUUUGGCAGUCUGGUGAAGCCUGUGGACCCCUUCUUAGAAUAAUGUUUUUAAAUGCAUAAAAUAGUAGAGGUGGGAGAUGACACGUGGCAUUUGGGAAACAACCAGUGGGCCAGUUUGUCUGGAACAAGAGUGCAUGAGGGGCUGCAAUAUGAAAUUAGUCCAGAGAGAUAGAUACAAGGCAGCUGGUAGGGCAAAUCCAUCUUCAUUUCCCGGUUUCUUUUAUGGCCCCCACCAAUGCCCAAAUCAAUUGGGUUGAUAUUAUAGCUAAGUCCAUACACAGAGUAAAGAAGAAUGGUUUUUCUUUGUGGCCAUGUAGAGGGCAAAUUAGGGAAUGCCUGAACACAUUAUAAUGUGUGAAUGCAAUGGAAUAUUAUUGACAAAAGGGAUAAUUUCAAAGAAACCUGGGAAGACUUAUAUGAACUAAAUAGAGGGAAGAGGGCAAAACCAGGACAACAAUUCAUAAAAAGACAGCAACAGAUUGGAGAAUGGCUGAAUACACAGUGUAUA